GACGAACGCUGGCGACGUGCUUAACACAUGCAAGUCGAACGGAAAGGCCCUGCUUUUGUGGGGUGCUCGAGUGGCGAACGGGUGAGUAACACGUGAGUAACCUGCCCUUGACUUUGGGAUAACUUCAGGAAACUGGGGCUAAUACCGGAUAGGAGCUCCUGCUGCAUGGUGGGGGUUGGAAAGUUUCGGCGGUUGGGGAUGGACUCGCGGCUUAUCAGCUUGUUGGUGGGGUAGUGGCUUACCAAGGCUUUGACGGGUAGCCGGCCUGAGAGGGUGACCGGCCACAUUGGGACUGAGAUACGGCCCAGACUCCUACAGGAGGCAGCAGUGGGGAAUAUUGCACAAUGGGCGGAAGCCUGAUGCAGCAACGCCGCGUGCGGGAUGACGGCCUUCGGGUUGUAAACCGCUUUCGCCUGUGACGAAGCGUGAGUGACGGUAAUGGGUAAAGAAGCACCGGCUAACUACGUG
rnacentral:rRNA from 1 species